rnacentral:rRNA from 1 species
UACGUAGGGGGCGAGCGUUGUCCGGAAUUAUUGGGCGUAAAGAGCUCGUAGGCGGUCCAUUAAGUCGGAAGUGAAAUCUCAGGGCUCAACCCUGAAAUUGCUUUCGAUACUGGCGGACUUGAGGCAAGUAGGGGAGAGCGGAAUUCCUGGUGUAGCGGUGAAAUGCGCAGAUAUCAGGAGGAACACCGAUGGCGAAGGCAAUCCCCUGGGCCUGCACUGACGCUCAUGCACGAAAGCGUGGGGAGCAAACAGG